AGAUUGAACGCUAGCGGCAUGCCUAACACAUGCAAGUCGAACGGUAACAGGCCCUUCGGGGUGCUGACGAGUGGCGGACGGGUGAGUAAUGCGUAGGAAUCUACCCACGAGUGGGGGAAUAGCCCGGAGAAAUCCGGAUUAAUACCGCAUAUGCCCUACGGGGUAAAGCGGGGGAUCGUAAGACCUCGCGCAGCAGGAUGAGCCGAUGUCCGAUUAGCUGGUUGGUGGGGUAACGGCCUUACCAAGGCGACGAUCGGUAGCUGGUCUGAGAGGACGACCAGGCCACACUGGGACUGAGACAACGGCCCAGACUCCUAAGGGGAGCAGC
rnacentral:rRNA from 1 species